rfam:Erinaceus europaeus cont1.466463, whole genome shotgun sequence.
AUAGCCACUUGGCACCCUUGUGAUAAACAGACAAGUCACAGGGGCAGUACCUGAGGGUCUGU